AAGAAUGGUCUUCCGCCCGAUUAAGGUAGUUGCUGGGGUAACGUCCCAACCAAGCGAUAUUCGGUACGGUUUGUGAAGAGCAAGAGCCCGGAAGAUGGAUUCUUGAGACACGAAUCCCAGGUCCUACGGGGCGCAGCAGGCGCGAAAAACUUUACACUGCGCGAAAGCGCGAUAAGGGGACCUCGAGUGCGUGCGCAAUGCGUACGCUUCUCACAUGCCUAAAAAGCAUGUGGAAUAAGAGCCGGGCAAGACCGGUGCCAGCCGCCGCGGUAACACCGGCGGCUCAAGUGGUGGCCGCUAUUAUUGGGCUUAAAGGGUCCGUAGCCGGACCAGUUAGUCCAUUGGGAAAUCUUACGGCUUAACCGUAAGGCUGCCAGUGGAUACUGCUGGUCUUGGGACCGGGAGAGGCAAGAGGUACUUCAGGGGUAGGAGUGAAAUCCUGUAAUCCUUGAGGGACCGCCAGUGGCGAAGGCGUCUUGCUAGAACGGGUCCGACGGUGAGGGACGAAAGCUAGGGGCACGAACCGGAUUAGAUACCCGGGUAGUCCUAGCCGUAAACGAUGCGAGCUAGGUGUCACGUGGAUUGCGAAUCCAUGUGGUGCCGUAGGGAAACCGUGAAGCUCGCCGCCUGGGAAGUACGGCCGCAAGGUUGAAACUUAAAGGAAUUGGCGGGGGAGCACAAGGGCGAAUUCCAGCACACUGGCGGCCGUUACUAGUGGAUCCGAGCUCGGUACCGAGCCUU
rnacentral:rRNA from 1 species